AUGGAUGGAUCCACUGUGGAAGAUUGGGAAAAAAGAAACAGGGAAUUUGGAGAGAGGAAGAUGAAGGGGAGACAGUGGGCAGACAGCACCUGCUGCAAUCUGAAAGUCCACUGUCGCUGCUCCUAUCCCAUAAACCCCCUUUCCCUGUCAACACCACAGAGGAAUGCAGCCACACGCAGCAGCAGGGAGUUCAAAACUUCUUUGUGGGCUGGUGCAUGUCAGCUUUGCAUCCGUGACAUCAUCUUGCUGGUGCCAUUAAAAUGACAUCAGCAUCAUCCCUUCGUCUACAGAGUUGUUGUCCUUGACUUCCCGACACUUUUGCUUUAUGUGCUGCAGAGGGAGCAGCAGACUAAAUCCCUGAUGGAUUGGUGACAUACGACCGUGUGUCUGCUGCGACUGUCUGACGCAUUGCUUAAAGUACUUGUGGAGAGUCCGUCAUAUGUAUCUGGAGCGUACAGUAAAGAGCUUCCAGAGACUCAGUGUAUAAAUUGCAGGCCUUAAGUGGCAUCAACCCAGAGAGAAAUCUCUUGACAAGGCACUUGAGACGUUCUUCUGUUUCCAUGCUGCAUUAGUGAUGCUAGUAGACUACCAGCAACUGCAGCAUGUGCAUCUAACGUUGCUUAUUCUUGCAUGUGCGCACACAAACACUGGACAGGGUCUAAUGCAGCCUUCGGUGAUUAAAUCCAAGAGGGAAUAACAGAUACUGAGGUCUUAUUGUAAUGGUUUCAGAUUUACUGCUAGCUAGCAAAAUUCCUCUCCAAUUCUGGCUCUGGAAUAGUUGAUGUCUUUUUAGAUGUAUUGAUAGAAAAUUUCAGAUUGCUAUGUUUUGACAUGCCUCAUGCAACGCACAUUUAGACAACAAAAAAAGUCUCAGCACAGAGAAUGGAUAUCUGGUUAGUCUGUUUUGAUCUCAUUACGGAACCAUGCUAAGAUGUAAUUAUCCUUGCGGGAAGGAUAACUUAGUUAUAUAGUUUUCAGUAACAGAUGUUUAGAUUCCAAUUUUUAAUAAUAGUCAUUUUUAAAUUCGUUACACAAGUUUUUGUUUUUAUUUUGCCACACUAACGUCAUGGUUUCAUGGAUGGCAAUGUUGGUCUGUCAGUCAGUUUACCACUUUGGUCCAGAUUGAUAUAUUUCAACAACUAAUUAAUGGAUUACCAUUAAAUUCAGUACACACAUUCUUGGUGCCCAGAGGAUGGAUCCCAAGAACUGGCCUUUCCUGUAGCACCACCAAUGAGGUUUCCAUGUGGUUUUGAAUGAAGUGUCUCACUGAUUUUCCAUGGAAUUUUGAUACAGACAUUCAUGUCCCCGUCAGGAUGACAUUUCAACAUUGUAUUGAUAAUAUUAAACACUGUAAAAUAGAAAGGAGAAUCUGCUCUUUGUGUACACAGUUAUUUGAUAUAGAUAUUUGCAAAGAUGUAAAAAAUAAAUAUUCCAGUGCCCUAAAAUGUUGACAUUGACAUGAAAUGUGCCUGUAUAUAAAUCCAACUGGGGCAGCUGUCUUGUCAGCUCUGCACACACACACACACACACACGCACGUACACCCACACACACCCACACACACAAAGCUGUCCAAAGCUGACAAGCUCAGCAGGACAGGGCCUUCUU
rnacentral:lncRNA from 1 species